ACAAAAAGGAUGCAGAGUUAGGCAGCACUGCAGAGGGACCUAGUUCAGCUAGUUCAGAGAAUGAUUCACGCUGGGUUUCCCAGAAGUCGACACAGAGAAGAGCUUGUGAGUGAGAGCCAUGUGUUAUGAAGUCUUCUCAGGACAACCCGGAGCAUAUCCAAGGAAGAAAGAUCCCAAGAGGCUCAAUAUCACGUCAUAAAAGAAUAGAAGAAGAAUUGAAAAUGGGAGAAGCUGGGGAAAACAAGGCUGUGGAGCACAUGGCAGCUGUCUUCUAAUGUUUCUGACACAGAGAUUUGACUAUGUGAUUGACUGUACGGUAGUUCUUAAAUAUCGGCUGUCCUGUCCUUGGAAGGACCAUGCCUUCCCAUCCUGAGAUAAUCACCUGGGCCCUAUGACUUGCUUUGACCAAGGAAAUGUGAGAGAACAUAGUGAUUGCCACAAUUAAGCUUUAAUAACCAUGUGUGGUUCCUCUAUCCAUUUUUUCCUUGGCCACAAAACCAAGAUAGAGGCUGGUUCUUCAGUGUGUGUCCUGAAAUAAAGAAGAUCAAAGAGCAGAGCUUCUACCCACCUAGAGUUGAUACAUACCUGAGGAAAAAAAAAAAAAAAAGUUUGUUGUAAAUCACUGAAAUUUAGUGGUCA